CCGGCGCACGGGUGAGUAACACGUAUGGAACCUGCCCUAUGCAGGGGGAUAAGCGGAAGAAAUUCCGUCUAAUACCGCAUAACACCUUUAGGAGACAUCUUCUUGGGGUCAAAGGAGGCGACUCCUGCAUAGGAUGGCCAUGCGUCGCAUUAGCUAGUCGGCGGGGUAACGGCCCACCGAGGCGACGAUGCGUAGGGGUUCUGAGAGGAAGGUCCCCCACACUGGUACUGAGACACGGACCAGACUCCUACGGAAGGCAGCAG
rnacentral:rRNA from 1 species